rnacentral:rRNA from 1 species
AGACGACUCUCGGCAACGGAUAUCUCGGCUCUCGCAUCGAUGAAGAACGUAGCGAAAUGCGAUACUUGGUGUGAAUUGCAGAAUCCCGUGAACCAUCGAGUCUUUGAACGCAAGUUGCGCCCGAGGCCACUCGGCCGAGGGCACGCCUGCCUGGGCGUCACGCCACCCAUCGCCACCCCCCCGCGGCAUUCCCAUGCCCCGCCGGGGAGCGGAGACUGGCCGUCCGUGCCCGAGCCCUCGGCGCGCGGUCGGGAGAAAAGGAGGACACCGUGCGGCGAGACACGGCGUGUGGGGGUUGAGAGGCGACUCGUCGCCGAUCGUACGUCGCGCCCGCAUUCCGCCGCGCGCAGUGUCACCCGUGGGACCGGACUCGCCCGCAGCCGCGGGCGCUCGGACCGCGACCCCAGGUCAGGCGUGGCCACCCGCUGAAUUUAAGCAUAUCAAUAAGCGGAGGAGAAGAAACUUACGAGGAUUCCCCUAGUAACGGC